GACGAACGCUGGCGGCGUGCUUAACACAUGCAAGUCGAACGGUGAAGCGCCUUCCUUUUUGGUGGGUGUGGAUGAGUGGCGAACGGGUGAGUAACACGUGAGUAACCUGCCCCCUUCUUCUGGAUAACCGCAUGAAAGUGUGGCUAAUACGGGAUAUUCUGGGUCUGUCGCAUGAUGGGUCUGGGAAAGAUAUUGUUUCGGUGGGGGAUGGGCUCGCGGCCUAUCAGCUUGUUGGUGGGGUGAUGGCCUACCAAGGCGGUGACGGGUAGCCGGCCUGAGAGGGUGGACAGGCACACUGGGACUGAGACACGGCCCAGACUCCUACGGGAGGCAGCAGUGGGGAAUAUUGCACAAUGGGCGCAAGCCUGAUGCAGCGACGCCGCGUGAGGGAUGGAGGCCUGCGGGUUGUGAACCUCUUUCGCCAGUGAAGCAGGCCUGCCUCGUUUGUGGGUGGGUUGACGGUAGCUGGAGAAGAAGCGCCGGCUAACUACGUG
rnacentral:rRNA from 1 species